GCCUGGGUGGCUCAGUCAGUUGAGCAUCUGGCUUCGGCUCAGGUCAUGAUCUCGCAGUUUGUGGGUUCAAGCCCCACGUCAGGCU
rnacentral:tRNA from 1 species